CAGUCGCCGCGGUAACACGAAGGGGGCUAGCGUUACUCGGAAUUACUGGGCGUAAAGGGUGCGUAGGCGGCACGAUUAGUCAGGCGUGAAAUUCCUGGGCUCAACCUGGGGACUGCGCUUGAUACGGUCGAGCUAGAGGAUGGAAGUGGGUUGUGGAAUUCCCAGUGUAGAGGUGAAAUUCGUAGAUAUUGGGAAGAACACCGGUGGCGAAGGCGGCAACCUGGUCCAUUACUGACGCUGAGGCGCGACAGCGUGGGGAGCAAACAGGAUUAGAUACCCCGGUAGUCCCUGUCUCUUAUAA
rnacentral:rRNA from 1 species